rnacentral:rRNA from 1 species
UGCAGCAGAGCUCCGACCUUCGGGGACGAGCGCUUUUAUUAGACCAAAACCAAUCGGACCUCGUGUCCGUCCUUUGUGGUGACUCUGUAUAACUUUGGGCUGAUCGCACGGGCCUGUCCCGGCGACGUAUCUUUCAAGUGUCUGCCUUAUCAACUUUCGAUGGUAGGUUACGCGCCUACCAUGGUCGUAACGGGUAACGGGGAAUCAGGGUUCGAUUCCGGAGAGGGAGCCUGAGAAACGGCUACCACAUCCAAGGAAGGCAGCAGGCGCGCAAAUUACCCACUCCCAGAACGGGGAGGUAGUGACGAAAAAUAACAAUACGGGACUCUUUUGAGACCCCGUAAUUGGAAUGAGUACACUCUAAAUCCUUUAACGAGGAUCCAUUGGAGGGUAAGUCUGGUGCCAGCAACCGCGGUAAUUCCAGCUCCAAUAGCGUAUAUUAAAGUUGUUGCGGUUAAAAAGCUCGUAGUUGGAUCUCAGUUCCAGACGGGUGGUCCUCCUACCGGUGGUUACUGCCUGUUCUGAACAGUCAGCCGGUUUCUCUUGAUGAUCUUCACCGGUUGUCUUGGGUGACCGGCAAGUUUACUUUGAAAAAAUUAGAGUGCUCAAAGCAGGCGUGACGCCUGAAUAAUGGUGCAUGGAAUAAUGGAAUAGGACCUCGGUUCUAUUUUGUUGGUUUUCGGAACACGAGGUAAUGAUUAAGAGGGACAGACGGGGGCAUUCGUAUUGCGACGCUAGAGGUGAAAUUCUUG